GGCAAACGGGUGAGUAACGCGUAAGUAACCUACCCCCCAGUGGGGGAUAACCCCGAGAAAUCGGGGCUAAUACCGCAUAAUGUGUUGGGGUAAUGCCCAAACACUAAAGCUGAUGGUGCUGGGGGAGGGGCUUGCGUCCUAUCAGGUAGUUGGUGAGGUAAUGGCUCACCAAGCCAAUGACAGGUAGCUGGUCUGAGAGGAUGGUCAGCCACACUGGGAUUGAGAUAAGGCCCAGACUCCUAUGGGAGGCAGCAGCAGGGAAUAUUGCGCAAUGGGCGAAAGCCUGACGCAGCGACACCGCGUGGGGGAAGAAGGCUUUCGGGUUGUAAACCCCUUUUCUCGGGGAAGAAUAAUGACGGUACCCGAGGAAUAAGCCUCGGCUAAUUACGUGCCAGCAGCCGCGGUAACACGUAUGAGGCGAGCAUUACCCGGAUUUAUUGGGCGUAAAGGGCGUGUAGGCGGCGAGGGAAGUCCUCGGUGAAAUCUCAAGGCUCAACCUUGAGGGGAAAGAGGAAACUCCCUGGCUUGAGGGCAGCAGAGGGAGGUGGAAUUCCCGGUGUAGCGGUGAAAUGCGUAGAUAUCGGGAGGAA
rnacentral:rRNA from 1 species